GGUUGGAGCUAGGGUUAGGGUUAGGGUUAGGGUUGGAGCUAGGGUUACGGUUAGGGUUAGAGUUAGGGUUGGAGCUAGGGUUAGGGUUGGAGCUAGGGUUAGGGUUAGGGUUGGAGCUAGGGUUAGAGCUAGGGUUAGGGUUAGGGUUGGAGCUAGGGUUAGGGUUAGGGUUAGGGUUGGAGCUAGGGUUAGGGUUAGGGUUGGAGCUAGGGUUAGGGUUAGGGUUGGAGCUAGGGUUAGGGUUAGGGUUGGAGCUAGGUUAGGGUUAGGG